rnacentral:lncRNA from 1 species
UUGGGCGCGGGUGGGAAGUUAGGUUUUUGGAAGGAUGGCGGAAGAGGUCGAGUGGCCGCCAUGUGGCGGCAGUGGUGUGCUAGUAGAGCGCCGAGCUGCUCGGUGCUCUGUCUGCGUGGCGGCUUUGGUUGGUCACCGGUGUACGGCUAUAGUUUUAAAUGUCCGAAAAUGCCCAUUUCUGUACGACGUCGUCGAGCAAAAUAUUUGCUUUUUAUUCAAUUUUUUAACUUGUUUUAGAUCUAUCUAAUUUUCUUUAUUUUGUUGUUGUUGGAUUUAGACUUAAUUACAAAAUCUUGAUUGGAAAAGAAAAUAACUCAUACAUUGAUUGAGAAGAAGUUGAUGGUGGAAGGGGAUUCUAAACUUGUCAUUCACGUGAUGCAAGAUGUUUGGAUGCCUUCUUGGAAUCUUAGACCUAUCAUAGAAGAUAUCAAAUGGUUGUCUUCUGAAUUUCAGCAUAUCAGUUGGAAGUAUAUUUAUAAGAAUGCUAAUUUUAUAGUAGACGCAUUAACUCAUGUGAGCCUCGCUAUUGCCAACCCACAUUUUUGGGAUUUUUAUCUUCCAACUUUGGCUAUAGAGGUUUUUAAUUUUGAUUGUAUAGGAAACAGUUAUAUUAGAGGUUUUAAGUUUUAAUAAAUUUAUUCUUUGUCAAUAAAAAAUUACAUUGAUUGAAAAACUGCUUUUAUUGGCCUAACCAUUGAAUUAAGUUUACCCAAUUAAAUACAUUAAUAUAUAUUAUUCAAAUUUUACGGGUAAUUUUCUUUAAGUUUGGUGAUAAAAUUCAUGGGGAAAGUUGAAUUUUAGACUUGAGCUUCAAUUGAUGAUGAGUUCGAGAACAACCACUUAAUCAAAAUUGAACCAAAUCAAUUAUUUUGUUCAAUUCAAUUUUCAAUUUGAAAUGUUACCUUAAUUUUCUAAAGUUAGAAUUUAGAAGCUCAAGAACAAGAGUAACUGCAGUUACGGACUAUAACUACGAGCAAAUCUCAAACUAAAGCGAUUUUAUUUAAUGUCUCGACAAGAGAACUAAAUUUAAAUUUUAUAAAUAACGAGCUUAAUAUUAAUUUAUUUCUUUCUCUUUUUUAUACAUUUGUUGUCUAAAUUUUUUUUUUAAAUUUGUAUAAAAUUACGCAACGUGCAAAUUAUAAUAAAAAACUAAACCGGCUUUGGCUUUAACCCCACUCUCCACAUAUAACAAACCAAGAGCCAGAAACAUGACUUACAGUCCGAAGCGUGCCAUGGCGGAGCUCAGGCACUCCAUCUCGGUGGGGGCUCGAGCCACUUCUUCUCCAAUGAAGCGCGACGAGGACUCCUCCCCUCUGAUAUUCGACACUCAGCCCCAAGACGACGACGACGGCCGCGGUCGCCCUCCCUACAAAGAUCGCGACCGUCCCUUCCUCUCCCAUUUCCAAUCCAUCUGCCCCUCAAUUGCCGACGACUCCAACAGCUCCAGGAUCUCACUCUUCGUCGUCAUCGUCGUCGCAGUCUUCUGCCUGGUCUCGAUUCUGGCGAUCGUGAAACGAGUGGUAUGGCUUUUUGGUGCUUUUUCUGUUCGGAUUUCUGGUGUUUGGCAAUUGGGAUAAGAUAGUCUUGCUUAGAGCUGUGCAAAUCGAUGUUUUUCAAUUGGUUUGUUUGGCUUUGUGUUGCAGAAUACUCCUUACUUGUGUAAAAAAGAUGGCAUUACUCUUCACUGUCCUCAUGUAAGUUGGGGAAAGCUGUUUGCUUGGUCAAUGUUAGAAUUUCGGUGAUGUAAUUGUGAGAUUUUUUAAUGUAAAUUUACUUUUCUAGGUCAAGGAAUCGCCUUCGCUUUGGGAGAAUCCGUAUUCAGCAACCACGUCUUGGAAGUCCUGUGCCGAGCGCCGCCUUGGUGGCAUUUCAGGUGAGCUGAGCUCUUGUUUUUGUUGUUGACGUGUUGCACUAGAUCUAUGAUCUUCUUUAUUACUAUGUCUAGUUCCACCUUUCUAAAUUAUAAUCUUUCCGGCAUUGUGCAGAUCUUCCACCUGAAAACGAAACAACUGGGUACAUAUUUAUUCAUGCUGAGGGUGGCCUAAAUCAGCAAAGAAUUGCAGUAUGUUCUACUCGGUCUUAUUGUUUAUCUGUUCAAGAAAUCUUUAUUUCCUCUAAUUUGUGCACAUUGUAAGAAUGAAGUGAAAGAGUAACUUAGAGAAGAUGUAAGACAAAAAUUUCACUUUUUCAAGAAGGUUCUAGAAUUGCACCGAGAAGAGCUCCUACAGAUUGGUUGCAAUGUUAAAUGGUGGCUGUCACAGUUAAUCUGUUACAACGACCAUAAUAUGUUUUUGUGCUUGGUGUCCAGCUGGGGAUGGCUGUCUGAAGGCAACAGCUUGUCUGCCGGUGCGGCACUGCGGUUGAUUUGUUUGUUUGUUAGCUUGUCUCUCUUUCAAUGGCUUUAAGCUCAUUACUUUUUCUCUGCUGUUGUCUUCGUCAUAAGAGCUUGACUGAUCUUUUAUAUGACCUUGUAGCUUGGCUGAAUUUCUCUGUUCAAAUAUAAAAUUGUUCACUUAGCUACUUUUUCAACCCCUUAUUUUCCAUUGCUUUUCCAUGGUUUACAGAAAGCAAUUUUCCAUUGGAUUAUAAUGGUUGCGCUAGUCUGCUUGCUUAUUUGCAUAUUAGUUUGAGAUAUGGUUCUGUAAGUUUAGCCGGAUGAUUCUGCCUUAUUGUUGUAUGUGAACUGUCAUGUGUAUGUUUUCCAUGCAGAUAUGCAAUGCAGUAGCUGUAGCCAAAAUAAUGAAUGCCACCCUUAUUUUGCCUGUGCUGAAGCAGGACCAGAUUUGGAAAGACCAAACGUGAGAUUUUGCCUCUAUUUUUAUAAGUACUGUCAUAUUAGUGUAAAGUCAUAAAAACAGUAUAUAACUAUAUACACAAUUAAAUAACAGGAAAAUACCAUUUUGAUGUUAAUGGUCUCUGUUACAGAUCUUGAAAAACUAAUCUUUUUGCUUUCAUGCUUUUAAAGAUCUUUUGAAAGUAUCCCUAUUUGAAAUUGCUUCAUAAGAUCUUGUUUUGGGAUCUCUUAUGCUUGCAAUUCUUGAUUUGAGUAUUACAACUUCUGCAGGAAAUUUGAAGAUAUCUUUGAUGUUGACCAUUUCAUUGAUUACCUGAAGGAUGAUGUACGAAUUGUUCGUGAUAUUCCUGAGUGGUUUACUGACAAAGCUGAGCUAUUUACAAGUAUAAGGUUAAGCUCUCUCUCUCUCUCUCCCCCCAAUUUGUAUAGAUUUUUCUCUGCAACUCGCACUGAUAUGUAAAUUUUUUUCUUUAGACGAACAGUAAAGAACAUUCCAAAAUAUGCACCUGCUCAAUUUUACAUAGACAAUGUUCUGCCGCGAAUCAAGGAGAAGAAGAUAAUGGCCCUAAAACCUUUUGUCGAUCGACUCGGGUAAGUUGGGAAUUCUUAUACAGGUGCUGUCCAAAGCUCACAAGUCACACUCUUGUAGAAAGAAAAGGACUGAAAGUUUCUUUUAUCUUUAAAAAAUGUAAGUGUUUAUAUCUGUUAGAAAUCAAGAAUGUAUAACAAGUUAAUAAUAUCAUACCUCUCUGGUUUCAGGUACGACAAUGUCCCUCAAGAAAUCAACAGGCUAAGGUGCAGGGUGAAUUAUCAUGCUCUUAAAUUUCUACCUGAGAUAGAGGAGAUGGCUGAUUUAUUGGCGUCAAGGAUGAGAAAUCGCACUGGAGGUUCCAAUCCUUAUAUGUAUGUAACAUUGUACUUAAAUCCAUUCAAAUUUCUGGUAAUUGUACCUUAACUUCACUAACAAUUCUACACUUGCAGGGCUCUUCAUCUUAGGUUUGAGAAAGGGAUGGUAGGCCUAUCUUUCUGUGAUUUUGUGGGCACAAGGGAAGAGAAAGCUCUAAUGGCAGAAUACAGACAUAAAGAAUGGCCAAGACGGUACAAGGUAAAUAACAUACCUAGGUCAACUUUAUGGAGUCAGAACUUUGAAAGAAUAUCAGUCUUAUUGUGUUUCUUUUUCUUUUGAUGGUGAUUUUGGUAUGCAGAAUGGUACCCAUCUAUGGCAACUAGCCCUGCAGAAGCGAAAGGAAGGGCGAUGCCCCCUUGAGCCUGGGGAAGUGGCUGUCAUUCUUCGAGCAAUGGGCUAUCCUAAGGAAACUCAAAUUUAUGUUGCUUCAGGACAGGUUUAUGGUGGCCACAACAGGAUGGCGCCGUUGAGGAACAUGUUCCCAAAUCUGGUAUGAACUUCUAAUUUAUUCUACCAUAGCACUACUGACUGAACUUGUCUGGUGAAGACAGCCCAUUAGUUUUGAAGUGUUAGUAAGUCAGAUCUAAAAGAUUAUACCCCUUCCGUUAUUAAGAAUAUCUUACUUGGAUGACUAGUUGAAUUCAGAAAAUGGGGUUCGGUAUAAUUCUAGCUGGGGUUACUUCGUAUAAAUAUGUAAUCUUUUAAAAGCGGAAACUUAGGGGACAUGCGGAAACUUCUUCACUUGAAAUCCUUCUUUUCCCCCCUCUUGAUUGAUAUGCUCAUUUUACUAUUCAUAAAAGGUAACGAAAGAGGAGUUGGCGGCUAAGCAGGAGUUGGAUAAAUUCAGGAAGCAUGUGACUAGCUUGGCAGCGCUUGACUUCCUGGUAUGCUUGAAGUCUGAUGUAUUCGUGAUGACCCACGGAGGCAACUUUGCUAAGCUGAUCAUAGGGGCACGCCGGUACAUGGGUCAUCGUCAAAAAUCAAUAAAACCAGACAAGGGGCUGAUGUCUAAAUCUUUUGGGGACCCUUACAUGGGAUGGGCCACCUUUGCAGACGAUGUAGUGACUACCCACGAAACACGAACUGGAUUACCAGAAGCGACCUUCCCUAACUAUGACUUGUGGGAGAACCCUCUAACUCCUUGCAUGUGUAAAGCUUGAACAAAAUAUAAGGUUGGCAAACCGAAUACACUUGAUUAUUCCAAGAGCCCGGAGAUUGUAUACCUGUGAAAUGAAAUCGCGAACUUCUCCCCGAAAGGUUUGAAAGAAUGUUGCACUAUGUGAUGAAGAAAAUUGAGGGAAAACCAGGGCAUGCAUCAAACUCAUUUGCGGUUGUGUCAAGAAUGUCAAAUAGUUUUGCCUGUAUCAUUAUCAGAACUGUGUAAAUUAUUAGAGAAAUGUGAAAGAUGUUUUUCAGGCAGUGAACGCUGCUUGAAUCACUCCAUGCUGAUUUUUGUGAUCCAUUAUUUUAGCACCUAGCAGCCUAGUCCAUGGUGUUUAGUUUAUUUUAAUACUUUGUUAAUCGAAAUUUUAUCUUACUGCUCUUUAUUUAUAGAAGUUAAAUGUAAAACUUUCACCAAAAUGGCUAAGACCUCUUCUGUAAGUCCUUAAAGAGGCUUAUAUUAUGCCUUGGUCCUCGGAUGGAGUAGCCUUUCCAUUUCCUAAACUUUUUUGUACCGAGAAAAGUAGGAAUAUCAUUAAAUCGUAAUUAUCAUGAAAUUGUAAAAAAAGAAAUAAAUUACCCAAAAAUUAGGAUCAAAUGAAGGUCCACGCAGAUGUGUAUUUAUGCAAGGAGAAAUUCGUGCCUUGUUAGAUGGGGUUGUUAAGAGUGGCCCAUAUUUUGUUUUAUGGCUUAAAUCCAAAUCUAAGAUUUUGAAAAUAGUGGUAAUAUGAAAUGUGAUAAAAUCAGAAAUAAGAUCACCUAAACUUGUUUAAUACGAUCAAAACCAUAUAUAUGUUUUAAAUAAGAUAACCAUAUAUGUGCUUUAAAUAAGAAUGAAUUUAUGUAUACUCAAGUUUCGUCUUUGAACACCCUUGUUUCUCUGGAUAUGUGUGAUCAUGAAUAAAAAACAUUCAAUAAUCAAUUUCAUUUUUGGGUGGAAAUUAUGCUUACAGUCUUGGCAUGAGUAUGAACUUUUUUUUUUCUCAAAUAAAGUGAUAUUUUGCACUAAAAGUGUGAGAAGUAUUUGAACUUGAGAUAUACAACUGUCACAUCCCAGCCCGAGGUCAAUCACAUCCCAGGCACACUCUACCACCGUAGCACGAUAUUGUCCGUUUUGGUCCCCGACUACGCCCUCACAGUUUUGUUUCUGGGAACUCACAUGAGAACUUCCCAAUGGGUCACCCAUCAUAGGAUUGCUCUUGCGCACUACUCACUUAACUUCGAAGUUCCGAUGGAACCCGAAGCCAGGGAGCUACCAAAAAGCCUCAUGCUAGAUAGGGAUGAGAAUAUACAUAUAAGGAUCACUCCCCUGGGAGAUGUGGAAUCUUACAAUCCACCCCCCUUAAGGGGCCCGAUGACAUCGUCGGCACACCAUGGCCAGGGUUAGGCUCUUAUAACAAUUUGUCACAUCCCGGCCCGGGGUCCACCACAUCCCGGGCCCGCUCUACCACCGUAGCACGAUAUUGUCCGCUUUGGGCCCUGACUACGCCCUCACGGUUUUGUUUCUGGAAACUCACACAAGAACUUCCCAGUGGGUCACCCAUCAUGGGAUUGCUCUCGCACGCUACUCGCUUAACUUCGACGUUCUGAUGGAACCCGAAGCCAGUGAGCGCAACAUGGGAUCUUGCACAACUCUUUAGGAAGUGCAUUUAAAAUAAUUAAAAGCGUUUUUGGUGAAAAUAUUUUUGAAAACCAAUAUUUGGUAAAAAUUGAAAUAGAUUAUGCACACUUUAAGUGCUUCCUGUAAGAAACACAUAUAUGAUGUUUCCUUCUAAAAGCAAUUAAAGUGCUUUUGUAACUCAAAAUCAAUUUCAUAAAAAAUAUUAUUAAUUAUUUUAAAAAUACUUUCAAACAAGUAUGUAAUAAUCGUGCUAAAAUACUAGAGAAUCUAUAACUGUCGAACGAGAAGAAUCAAUUUAACUCCUUUCAGUUAGAUGGGAACAACUUUGAUAAAUAUUGAUAACUCUUAGAUGGAGUAUUAGAACAAAAAAAAAUCUAUUAGAUAAUGAAUUAUUGAUUCUAAGCCAUCUCAAAAAGGCAGAAUUAAAGACAAAAACAGUGGCCGACAUUCAAUUUGUAAACGAUCAGAAUUUUGGAACUAAAGAACCCCGUCAAAAUAUUUGGAAUUUGGCACUUGGCUUUGACCAACAUCGUCAGAUAAAAUCGAACAUUCAUAUCAGUAAAAGUACAUAUUUCCCACGUCAGCGCCAAGCGAGGCACAACAAACAAAAUUCCAUAAAAAAUAUAUAUAUUUUUUAAUCUUUUUCUUCAUCCCAGAUGAAUUUUUGUAAAGGAAAACUAACAAAAAUAAUUUGAAAAUUUUGAGUUUUAACGAUAAAGAUAAAAUAAAUGGUAAAAUGAACAAUAUCAUGAUUGAUUUUUUAAUGUAAAACUGUGAAUUUUUAUUAAAAUAAAUAGUACCUAGAACUUUUCGUUAAAAUUCUUUUUUUAUAAUUGUAAGUAUCAGCUAUUCAAACAGUACUUAAUGUAUAACUUUUUAGUAUAAAAUUGUAAAUUUUUUAUUAAAAUGAACAGUACCUAGAAUUUUUCGUUAAAAUUCUUUUUUUUAUAAUUGUAAGUAUCAGCUAUUCAAACGGUACUUCAUAUAUUUCAUAUAUAACUAUAUAAAUAAAAAAUUUGAUAUAUUUUUUUUUCGUAUAUAUUCAUGUAUUAUGACAUGUAGAAUUUCAACGCUAAAAAAUUUCUGUUCUUUUAAAUAGCAUUUCGUCAUUUCCUCACGGAGACCACAAAGUGGUUAUGAAGUAGAUUGCCUCCCCCAAGAAGGAUCAAGGCUGUAACAUGUCGGUGUCAUACCUAACUCCAUUGCCGCCUGUUUGAUUCCGUCGUCUGAAUUCCAGUCUGGUCUGGUCGGAAUCGAAUUCCCAGUGCUUGAGUCAAAGCUUCAGCCUUGAGCCAUGAAUGUCUGCUUGUUCCUCUUCACCUCUCUCUGCUUCUUACUCGGUCUGUUCACCCAGAGGUAAAAACCCACUUUUACUUUUUACCAUUUCAUCAUCUUCUGUUCUUCACUUGCUCGGUGUUUCCUGUUGAUGAUAAGCAUGAUCAUCUACUCGACAACCCAGAAUUUGUUUCAGUGUUUCUGCGAGAUUCCAUUUCGGAAUUGUUAAUUGCAACUUGCCCACUCAUUUAUUAGUAUUUGCAUUUGUGGCAUUAUUCUUUUGGGUUUCUGAGCUCAAAUUUACUAAUCUGAAAAUUUGUGUGUAACUGAGGAAUGUUGUGUGUUGGAUUAAAUGCUAUCACUAUUAUUUUGUUUUUUCCUUGUUUACUUUGGUUUUUUUUUUUCUGUUGCUAAUUUGUUUUAUUUGAUGAUCUCAAUGUUUCUGGUUUUGUGAUGCAAAUCGUGGUUGCAAAUGUAUGCUGAUUUCAGGGUGUCAUCACAAGAUCGCGCCAGCACCCCGCCGAGAGGUUGGAACUCGUAUGACUCGUUUAUCUGGACUAUUUCAGAGGAAGAAUUCUCCCAAAAUGCCAAAAUUAUGGCAAAGCAGCUCCUUCCUCAUGGAUAUGAGGUGUUUGAUGGAAUACGAUAAGAAUUUGGUUUUUUUGUUUCUUUUUUCGCAUUCAUUUGUACGUGUGAGAGUGGUUUUAUGCAUCUUUGUAUUUUCACUUCAAUGCAGUAUGCUGUGGUGGAUUACCUGUGGUAUAGGAGAAAAGUUCCAGGUGCUUAUGUUGAUUCUCUUGGGUUUGAUGUGAUCGAUGAGUGGGGGAGGCCGAUACCUGAUCCAGAUAGGUGGCCUUCGUCGAGAGGUGGGAAAGGGUUCGCUGAAGUGGCAGCAAAAGUACAUAGCCUCGGUUUGAAAUUCGGGAUUCAUGUCAUGAGAGGAAUAAGUACACAGGCAGUAAAUGCGAGUACCUUGAUCUUGGACACCAACACGGUAAUACUACUUAAUCACACCAACAAAGAUUCUGAAAAAGUACAUAGCCUCUCAUUUUUGUAGUGAUUAUAUUUUACAUAAGUUUGGAGGAUGCAUCAAAUAAUGUACUAGUUUAUCGUUAACAAAGAUUCAGAAAGCACACACAUAUGUAAUUCAUUUUUAUCUUUGAAAACAUAAGUGGUGCAAUGGGGGAAAUUGAAGUCUUGGUCUCAGUGCUUUAGUUUUCAUUCUCGUCUUUUAUCAGGGGUCUGCUUACAAAGAGGCUGGAAGAAAUUGGACUGCAAAAGAUAUAGGGAUCAAGGAGAGGACUUGUGCAUGGAUGCACAAUGGUUUCAUGAGUGUGAAUACCAAGUUGGGCGCUGGAAAGGCCUUCUUGAGGUCACUCUAUAAACAGUAUGCUGAAUGGGGUGUUGAUUUUGGUAAUUAACAAAAGUUCCCGUAUUUUGUUCAAUAUUAAGAUUGCGUCAGUUAUGGAUGACGACGUAAAGCAUCAGGAUACUCCUCUGAUAUUAUUUAUCUCUUGCUAACUCUGUCAUUGGUUGCUUCUUUUACCCACCCCCCGCAGUGAAAAAUGACUGCGUGUUUGGUGAAGACUUAGACGUACCCGAAAUAACCUACAUUUCAGACGUAACUCUCUCGCUCUCUCUCUCUCUCUCUCACACACACACACACACACACACACACAAAACAUGCAUCUUCAUCAAUAUUGUGAUGGAGAGUGGGUGCUUAACAAAUAAUGCAUACUUCUCCAGAUUCUGAAGCAACUUGACCGUCCUAUAUUGUAUUCUCUAUCUCCUGGAACCAGAGUAACACCUGAUAUGGCCAAGGCUAUAAGUGGAAUGGUCAACAUGUACCGUAUAACUGGGGAUGAUUGGGAUUCAUGGGGAGAUGUUCUAGCCCAUUUUGAUGUCACCAGGUGAUUGACUUGUUUUUCAGUACAAGGUUUCGUUCAGAUUAACUUUCGCAUAUUCUUUGUUUUUCGUGUGUGCUGAACACAAUAAAUUCCGUACCAGGGAUUUUGCUGCUGCUGAUAUGAUAGGAGCCAAAGGCUUGCUGGGGAAGUCAUGGCCGGACUUAGAUAUGCUUCCGUUGGGAUGGCUUAGUGAUCCAGGUCAGAGGACUUAGCAUUUUUAUUUCCUUUAUAUGGCAAUGAAUAUUUUCCUUUCAAGAUUCUAAGAUAGAUGACUGAGCUCUAUUGACGCUUGCCUGAUGUGCUUGGUUUCAUACUGAUGGGUUGUCAUCGCACUGCAUUUGAGUGUGAAAACGAUCAAGUUCAAUAUCUAGGACCAACUGUAUCCAUGUCAAUUCGGCUGAGCAACUUCAACCGGAUAGUUCUAGAAUAUCAUUAUAAGGCAUUGCAGGGUUAUUUAUCUCCUCGAAAUUUACAAAAUCUGAAAUGCACUUUGAGUUUGAUAUUUGAUGAGUGGUUCUCAUAAUUUCAUUUCAUAUUUUGAAAUAUUAGGUUCAAAUGACGGUCCACACAGAUGGACUAAUCUCGGUUUAAGGGAGCAAAGAACGCAGGUACUUACAUGAGGACGAUUGAGUCUUUUAAGUCCUUUUUUAUUCGCUGAGCAAUGUUUUUGACCUUGUGCAUUUAUUUUCACAGAUGACUUUGUGGUCUAUGGCCAGGUCUCCUCUCAUGUUUGGAGGGGAUAUGAGACAGCUUAAUGAUGUCACAAUGGAACUCCUUGCAAACCCUACCGUGCUGGAGAUAAAUUCUUUUAGCUCAAAUAAUAGGGAGGUAUGUUGAAUAGACAAUUCAUAAAAUCAUAAGAAAAAAAUUUGUUCGUGGUAGCACAUAAAAUCUUAUUUUGUUGCAUUUACAGUUUUCAUACAUUACAAGUAAUGUGAGUGCAAAGGCCGUUAAGAAUGAUGAUCACGUUCACACCUGGCAAUCAAGAAGACAUCUGACAAAUGCAAAAACUACAAAUACACAUGUUCUUGGUCUCACUACCUGUGCAGAUGCAAAAGCAAUUGGUUGGUCCUCUCAAGCUCUUGACCAAGAUCGCGAACACAUCUGCUGGACGGCAAACUCAAGGGGCAAACAUCAGGCACCUUUUUGCUUAAACAAGACAGAAUCUCUCCUGGCAAUGUAAUAUUUUUUUAUCUUUCCCUGAUCUGUUUUCUCAAUUUUAUUAUGUUUACUUGCGCUGUUACAAACUUGAUAAAUCUGGUUCACUGCUGAUAUAGAGAUGAAGACAUAACGGACAAACAGCAAUAUCUGGGGAAGGUCAAUUUAUUAGCAAAUGAUGGAACGGAUCGCUGUUUGCAUGCUUCUCCUAAACAAAAGCUUACUUCGAAGGACGUUAAGAGAGGUUUCCUUUCACCUUGUAGAUGGGAUGCAAACCAGGUAUCUUCAGUCCCGAUACAUAGAUUUAAUCCAUACAGAAUUGAUAUCUUGCAUACACCAUUGAGUGUCUAAUCUGAACAAGUUGUACGGAAUGAAUUGUAUCGUGAAGGAGUGACAUUUUGAAAUGACGUAUUCGAACUUAACAGAUGUGGGAGUUGAACCCCAACGGAACCUUGGUGAAUAGUUAUUCUGGCCUCUGUGCAAGAAUUGAUUCUUUAUUUGAAGGUAACAAAUUAAAACGCGAGUGCCUUUUCGUACAUUGAUUCUGUCAGCGAGUCUUGAAAUCAUGUUUAAAUCAUGGUUUAAACUUACAAGUUGAUCACCUGUUCAGCUAAAGCCGUCACUGAUGUUGCUCGCUCUUGGAUUGCAACUGGAACAAAAGGUUUAGCAUAUUUCUCAAUUCUCAACGUAACUGGUGCAUAUUUCUCGAUUGUCAAUUCUGAUUCUGUUUGCGUUUCUGCAAUUACAGGAGAAAUAUACAUAGCGUUUUUCAAUUUGUUCAGUGAUUGGGCUACUAUAACUGCACAAAGAGCAGACAUAGUCAAAGAACUUCCAAUGACAAAAUUGGCCAGAGGUUCUUGCACGGGAUCGGAAGUAUGGACCGGACAAGACUUAGGGGUAAUAGGCGACGCAAUUUCUUUUUCGGUUAUACCGCACGGGGUUGCACUGAUUGUCCUGCACUGUAGUUAGGUGCAGGAUAAUCCAAAGCAUUUUUUAGGUGUAGUUUUGCUGCUUGUUCUUCAUGUUCUUUAUUUUUCAGCAAAUAAGAGGGAAAGGGAUGUGGCACAUGCUGUAAUAUUUAGGGGGGUGUAUUCGAUUGAGAAUUUGAGAUAAUUUAAUGGAUUUAUAAAUCCAUUGAUUUUUAUAAAGUUUAAUUGAUUUGUAGAGAUUCCAUAUAGAAUCUUAAUUCAAUUCUCUCGAAAUCUCAUGGGAAGAUAUGAGAUUUGUGGAUGCUUAAAAUAUACUACAAAAUCUCUCAAAUUCCCUUUAAUUCCUCAACUUUUUCAAAUUCUUUAAAAUCAAUUUCUAAUUGAAUACACCUGGAAUGUUAUAAAUUUCUUUAAAAUCCUAAUUGAAUGCAUCCGGAUUUCUAAGGAUUUUAAUAAACUAUAUUAAAAUUCUAAUUGAGUACACUUUGAAUUUCAAAAAAUCACUUAAAAUUUUGAUUGAAUACCCCUAAAUUCAUUAAAAUAAUUAAAAUCCCUCAAAAUCUCAAUUGAAAACACCCCCUUAACCUUUAAGAAUCAGUGAGAAUGAUAAUUUGGUUUAUUAUAUUUUGCACCCUCAAAUUUGGAUGGAAUUGCGAUUCCAUAGUUCAUUUGAAAUACCUGCCACUCCAAAGAAAACAAAUAUAAAGACAAAAGUGGCAAGCGAAUUUAAAUAAAUACAUAACAAUAGGCUGACUUUUUUCUUAGUUCCUGUGAUGAUAUCGCCCUUUAAAUUUGACCCAUCGUGGUUAAAAGCUAUCAAUUAAAGACUUGUGGUGAACCUUGUUCAUACUUACAGUUUAAGUUCAAACUUCCCUUAAUUUCUCUCUUCUUUGUUAGUAUAAAUGUCAAAUUUUUAAAUUGAGAAUUUUAACGAAAAACUCCUAAUAUUGUUCGCUUUAACGAAAAACCACAUUUUUACACUAAAAAGUCAAUCUUGGUACUAUUUAUUUUACCCUUUAUUUUGUCAUUAUUGUUAAAACUCAAAGUUUUCAAGCAAUUUUCAUUAGUUUUCCUUUUUAAAUUUUGGUCGUCAAACAUAAUUCAAUGAUUGUCACACCACGGAUCUGGGGUCGAUAAUAAAAACUCAAACCCGAAUCUGAAACGUAAAUAAAAGGAAAUAGAAACGGGUUGGAAAAUAAAUUUCUUCUUAUAAAAUGACUCAUGAUUCUUAACAAAUCAGGAAUUCUUUACAACCUGCAGUAAACAGAUGAGUAAACUUUCUCUACUCCAAUCUAAUUUGAUCUCAUCCUACCUACCCUCUUGAAUGUCUAGUUCGUAAGCUUGCAUAACAAUAGCGGGAUGAACUUCAACAGCUCAAUAGGGACAUAACCUUAUCAUAGUAAAUUGACAAUAUUAAAUUAAGUGUCAUGAAAUCAUAUAGCCAAAUAUCAAAUCAAUAUUGAUUCAUUAUUGAUAAUAAUGCAUGAAUGUAAUGCAACCUCUUCAGCUACCCCCAUUAAUUUAUAUAAUAAAACACGCGGACUUGCACGUCCCAUACCAUGCAUUUUACUACUGCAGAGGUGGUUCAAAUGUUCUAUUAUAGAAACUAACCCCCAUAUGAUAUCCCAAGUUCAUAAACCCCUUUUGCUAGUUAUCUUAUCUAAUUCAUUGAUCUCCAACCCAAAUAAGCCACAUCAACAAUUCCCAUCGAUAUCCUAUUCUACUGUGCACAUUGAGCUUGCUUGGAACUGGUUUCACAAUUAAUAGAGUCAACUACACAAAAGAUCAUUUCCAACUACCCUCAUUUCCCGAAUUCAAAUCUCAAUACUGAAUUUCCAACCACAUCUCAUCCUGCCUAAACCUUUUGUUGAGGCACAAAACCAGAGGUCUUGGAACAACAUAAAUCCGACCGUGAAUCUGCAGAAAAUGUAAAUAACACAAGAUGUAUCGUGGUUCACCCCAAUGUUUGGGCUACGUCCACACUAAUAUUGUAUUUCUCUGAGAGGAUUAUGAAGGAGAGAGGGAGCUUCUCUAUGAGGAUGAGAGCUAUGAGAGGGUGAAGGUGUGGCCUAAGAAUUGGCCUCCCUUAAUGAGGAGAGUGAGGGGUCCUUUUAUAGAAUAAGGGUUCCUCACUUAUUACAUAUUUGCCCCUACCUUUAUUACAUAAUUACAUUUGAGUCCCCCCGAGUAUUUAUACGAGAUCUAAAUACGGAGGCCCUAAGUAUGGUACAAACAGUAGUCCCCCAAGUCUUCAAUCAUGAGAGUCUUUUGGCUGGAGACUUAAAAUUCAGUCCAUGUGUGGGCCGAAAUAACUAGAUGUCGUCUAGAAUUAAUACUCGAUAUGAGACGGUGCUCAAUUUGAAAUGAUGCUCAACUAGAAGUAGCACAGGUUGCGAGGCUACUCUAUUUGUGGCUUAUGUUUCCUUGGUUGACUCGGCUUGUGGCGUUAAAGGUGAGGGAGUCCCUUUUAUAGAAUAAAGGCUCGCUUCUCAAUACAAAAAUGAUGGGCUAGAGUCGAUGCUCACGGCGAGACGGUUGCUUAGCAGGCAGCGAUGUUCUCUAAUGAUGGUGAGGGAGUCUCUUUUAUAGAAUAAGGGUUCGCUUCUCAAUACAUAAAUGAUGGGCUAGGAGUGAUGCUUGCGGCGAGGCGGUUGCUUAGCAGGCGGCGAUGCUCUCUAAUGAAGGUGAGGGAAUCCCUUUUAUAAAAUAAGGGAUCGCUCCUCAGUACAUGAAUAAUGGGUUAGGAGUGAUGCUCGCGGCGAGGAGGUUGCUCAGUAGGCGAUGGUGCUCUCUAAUGAUGGUGAGGGAGUCCCUUUUAUAAAAUAAGGGCUCGCUCCUCGGUACAUGAAUAAUGGGUUAGGAGUGAUGCUCGUGGCGAGGUGGUUGCUCAGCAAGCAGCGAUGCUCUCUAAUGAUGAUGAGGGAGUCCCUUUUAAAAAAUAAGGGCUCGCUCCUCAAUACAUAAGUGAUGGGCUAAGUCCCCCAAGUAUUUCUCAUGAAGCCCAGUUGAGGCUCAAUAUAUGGUACAUAAUCUAGUCCCUCAAAUCUUCGGUCAAUAGAGUCUGUUGGCUGGAGACUUCAAAUUGAAUCCAUGUAUGGGCCGAAGUGGCGGUUGUUCGGAUGUGAUAUUUGUAUACCCUGCACUGAAGCUUUGUAGGUGAAGCUUUGCAAGUGAAGCUUUAAAGCUGGAGCUUUUGUAAAUGAAGUUUUUGAAGCUGGAGCUCUGUAAAUGAAGCUUUUGAAGGUAGAGCUUUUAUAAAUGAAUUUUUUGAAGCUAGAGCUCUGUAAAUGAAGUUUUUGAAGCUAGAGCUCUGUAAAUGAAGCUUUUGAAGCUAGAGCUUUUGUAAAUGAAGCUUUCGAAGCUAGAGCUCUGUAAAUGAAGCUUUUGAAGCUGAUUGACAUAAGUGAUGCUCAUGAAUGUUUAUGUUGAUUGACAUGAGUGAUGCUCAUGGAUGUUGACAUGAGUGAUGCUCAUGAAUGUUGACAUGAGUGAUGCUUAUGAAUGUUGACAUGAAUGAUGGUUAUGAAUGUUUAUGUAUGAUUGAUAUGAGUGAUGCUCAUGAAUGUUUAUGUAUGAUUGACAUGAGUGAUGCUCAUAUAUAAUUUUGGAGUACUAGACGUACUUUUGAUCACCUAGUGGGUAAUAAUAGCGGCAGGCAGCCGAAUAAUUUUUUGUAGUACUGGGCGUACUUUUGAUCAUCUGAUUGGUGAUAAUAGAGGGCCUCGCUCUUUUGGGCAUAUGGGCUUUCGCCCUCCACAUAACAUUCCAACCCAUUAUUUUGGGUUUUUUUUUUACUAUUACCCUCUGAUAGGGUUUAUACAGAUGUCUCCGAAAGAUAAGAAAAAUAAAUUACAUCAUUAAAAAAUAAAGUCGACCAUCUGCUCAAUGGGUCACGCCUAUAAUUCCCUCUUCUGCAUGUUAUCCUCACCACAAUUAUGUCUUUUUCUUUUUCUAUUCUUUUCCUCCUUCUUUUUCUUUUUCUUUAACAUCAUGGUGUCGUCUGUGAGGAGUGGGAACAUGCAUGAUGAAAGUUGGUGGGCAUCUUUUGCGCUGUCAUCGUGCCAAGUUGAUUCCCUUAAUCAACUUGGAGCUUGGGCUGAUGUGCAUUAGUGGAUAGCUAUACUUUCAGCUUUUUCUUGUUUUUUUCUUCUUUCUGCAAUUAUCUUAGUGGGUGGGGUUUUUGUUUGGAGCAUAAUCUUACCCCCGAACACAUCAUUGAUCAAUUUGCUCAUGUUGUUCGCCACCCGGUCCACCUGCAAAGUAGGCCAUCGGGUCCACCUACAAUAUUCGCCAACCUGAAACUUACCACGAUCAUCCUCGCUGUGUGGAGUUUCAGAUCGAAACUCUGUAAUUCGUGAUGUCGUGGUAGAACAAGACCGCCCUCAACAAGGUCGACGAGCUUGUUGACAUUAGUCUGUAGUUUCUUGAUGGCAGAGCCAUCCUUGUUGAACUACAAUUCCUUGGCCAUGGUACAGAUUCUGGGAGACCGUGUCCUCCUUAAAGCCACAUUCUGCCUUUUAGAGACGGAAAAUGAAGAGAAUGAAGCACGAGACGACAAGUUGUCGAAUUUCCUGUCAAUGACACGGCCGCUAGGAGGUCGUCGAUCAGACAUGAGAGGACUGGAAGUCAUCGAUCCGACCUGAGAGGACCUUGGAACUCUGAACCUGAGUGGGACUGACAGCCGACGAAAAUGACUGUGUCUCCGACGGCGGUGAGGUUGAGGAAGUCCCCUGACAGAGCCCUCUCCCCCGACUUUCUGGGAUCGUGGUGCAAGUUCCUGCUCAUCAGCUUCUGUUCGUAUAUCUCUCGAGUCCCCAUCGUCGGAUUCUGACAAAAAUGCUACCAAUUUCAGAGAAAUCAACUGACGGAGGCGAUGGUAACUCAAUUGGCGGAAAUGACGGCAGCUAUGAAGGAGAUGAAUCACACGGGUUAGGCUCGGUUCGACGAGUCGGGUCAGUUUUGCCUCUGCGUUGUAGAGAGAAUGGAGAGUGGGCGUACAUAGAGAUACGCGUGGGGGAGGCGGGCUAGUCUUGAACCUUCUCGUUGCCCUCUCCGCUAAGAAUGACGCCCUGAACUGUAGCACCGUAGGCAUCACCAUCCCCACCAAGAAAGAACAAGUCUUCUCAACCUACUCCGACGACCAGCCCAGAGUCUUGAUCCAGGUGUACGAAGGAAAGAGAACCAGGAUCAGGGACAACAACUUGCUCGGAAAAUUCGAGCUCUCCGGAAUCCCGACUGCACCCAGAGGAGUACCCCAGAUCAUCGUCUGCUUCGACAUUGACGCUAACGGUAUCUUGAAUGUCUCUGCGGAGAACAAGACCACCAGACAGAUCUAUAGCUUUUGUUGGGGACUGUGAAAAGCAAAAGAUAAGCUUAGCUUGUAGCUUUGGAAAUCAUAGUGUUAGUUGGGUUGAAAUCCCUGUGAAAUCGCUUUUGUUGCAGAGUCUUUUUGUUGGGGACUAUGAAAUCCCGGCGAAGGAUAAAAGUGUUUGAGAUUUAGAUUUUUUCUGUUUCUGGGUUUUUUGUGAUUUUGCAGAUUCACGGUGGAGGUGAAAAAAUGAAGGAGAAUCGACACAACUUUUCAUAUCGAUUCCCACAGACGGCGCCAAAUGUUGAUGCACAAAACCGGAGGUCUUGGAACAACGUAAAUCCGACCGUGAAUCUGCAGAAAAUGUAAAUAACACAAGAUGUAUCGUGGUUCAUCCCAAUGUUUGGGCUAUGUCCACACUGAUAUUGUAUUUCUCUGAGAGGAUUAUGAGGGAGAGAGGGAGCUUCUCUAUGAGGAUGAGAGCUCUGAGAGGGUGAGGGUGUGGCCUAAGAAUUGGUCUCCCUUAAUGAGGAUAGUGAGGGGUCCUUUUAUAGAAUAAGGGCUCCUCACUUAUUACAUAUUUGCCCCUACCUUUAUUACAUAAUUACAUUUGAGUCCCCCGAGUAUUUAUACGAAAUCUAAAUACAGAGGCCCUAAAUAUGGUACAAACACCCUUAAUGAAUAGCAUUCCAGCAAUAAUUUCAUAACCAAUAACAAGUAAACACUUAUUGAAGCAAUUAGCCAAUUAAUAUCCAAUUGCAUUAAUCAACCAAAAAGAUCAAGAAUAUUAUAGCACUUCACGAAAUUUAAUAAAAUCAAUUUCCGUAAAGGUCUGCCGUAUUUCCCCUGCAUGGAUUCCAAAGCUAAAAUGAAGAUCAACGUCACUACCGGAAUAGCUAAGCUUCACGUACUUAUCCAUGUCACUACCGAAAUAGUUAAGUUCCAUGUACUUGAGGAAGCUCCCUGAUUGCUCCUAACACCAUAUAUUUAUUUUACUUUCUUUUAUUUUCUAAUCUCUCUCUAUAUGUAUGUGCGUAGGUAUACAUACAAGUACAUGCAUACAUAUAUAUCAUAUAGUAUGCAUACGAACAUAUCGUUAUAAAUAUAUAUAGACACUUAUAUAUAUACACACAUGAGCUGCAGAGCAUGCAUUGCAUGCUAGCUCUCCCUCGAAAACAAAUGGAGACGAUCUCCUAUUUAUACCAUAAAUAAGGCAGCAAACUAGUUGUUCUCAUUGGUUUAUAAGUUUCUCUACAAUCAACUCCACUUGCUAUUACACCAUUUCACGUUAGCUAUAGGCAUCAUUAGUCAUCAACAUAGCCUUCAAUAAUCAUCACCCUACAGUGCUUUCUAAGCACUCUAAAAACACCAAGUGAUAACACCUAAGCUACAGACUUUCCACCAAACAUGCUAAUAAUAGGAUUAGUGUCCUUAAGGUAGGCAGUAAACACCACGUGGCAAACUUAGCCACUCAAUGAAUGACAUUUGUUUACAAUUUCCUAGUUCAAUUGUAAAUUCUGAAAUCGUAGAGAGUUCGAAAUGUAUUUCAAAAAUGCCAUGAGCUCAUUAUAAUUCCUACUAUCUUCAUAUAAGAACCUUUUCGAUAAAUAAUUUCCAAAUAAUUCUCUUCUUUGGUAAUAAAUUAUUGGGAUCUCACAAUGAUAUUGUAAGGCCGCCACGUAAUGGAUACAAAUUUAAAGGAAAGAAACACACAUUGUACUCCAAAAGCUACAUCACUAAGCACGUUACAUUUCCAACAAGCAACUACAUAUAACUUCAUCAUGUACAUUUUUGGAUAUUUUUGGUAAUUAUAGGAAUGAUUACGGUAUGUUGGACGCCAAUCUGAAACGAUGAUAAAAAGAAAAUAAUUUGAACAAGAAUAGAGCGUAACAUCAACUUUUUUACAUUUCAUAUCAGUCACAUGAUGAGUAAAAUCUAAUAAACUUUUCACAGUAUAAAAUUUGAAUUCAAAAAGUCUCGAUACAAUUUAGAAAUAAAUGCCAUUUAAUAAUAUAACCUCACGAUCAUCUCUCAUAUGUGCACAUAAUUAGCGGAUGAACAAAGCUUGAAGCAUGAAAUAAUUAAAGCAACAAAGGUGGCUGAUGAAAAAUAUCUAAUUCUAUUCGGCUACGUAAGCACACAAGUCACACACUGUGUAAAAAUAAUUUUAUAAAAUUAAUUAGUUAAUUAACUGUCACAUUUUAGUUCCACUUAAGACAUACAUAUCAUAUCAUCACGUGCGGCAGCCCCAACUUGGAGUUUGGAAUAUUAUAUUUAUUAAAAUUAUUAUUGUCACUAGCGGUGGUGAAUUAAGGGAGUGUUUGAGAAGUGUUUUUUAAUGAUUGAAAAUGCUUUAAAAGUAAAUAUUUUUUGUUGCAAAAACACUAAAAGUACAUAAGUGAUUUUUUCAAGAAGCAUUAAUUUUGUGUUUCUUGCAGGAAGCACUUUAUAUGUUUUUUCAAAAUUAACUUGCAUUUGUAUUAAGAAUUGAUUUCAAAAAUAUUUUUCUAACAUCAUUUUAAGUUAGUUAAGCACUUCCAAACGAGCUCUAACUCAAUCCAAAAACAUUGAAUUCGUAUAUUUGAUAAUUGGACAAUAGUCAAAAAAAAAUUUAGUUGAUUUGUAAUAUGAAUAUUUUUAUUUUGUUGUUGUAAUUGCCGUGGAUUUCAUAUCCGUCAACGAUGAAAGGAGGCAUCGUUCAAUUAGUAUUAAUAAUUGUUUUCUAUUUACCCAUAGAAAAUGAUUAAAAAAUAACAAAUAAAUUUAAUCUCCAGAAAUGACGUUUUACUGUAGUAGUUAAAAUUAAUUAUGUCUAUGCACUAUGUGAAGAAUCGUUCUUAUUAAUUCUCAACGUCACUAACAAUUAACUAUUUAAUCCAUUAAGACUAUAAUUCUACCAAAAAAAUAAAUUUAAUUCCAAAAAAUAUAAUAUUUUUUAGAAAUUUACUAUUAUUAAAGGGAAUUGUUUUUAGCACUCCAAAAUUUUCAUUCUACACUCCUAACUUUUUAUAUUUAGAAAGAAAAAUACACUUGUGAGGAGUGUAAAAUAAGAUUUUUGGAGGGCUAAUAACACUUCCCUUAUUAAAAAAUGAGAAUAGCUCGAAACGAUUGUAAUAAUUUAAAGAUGAUGUGUUUCAAACUGAGAUAACCCAAGACUGUUCACAAGAAUAUUUGUACCACAUGCACAAUACGUUACGACAUCAAUUUUGUAAUGUUUGGCGCCUCGUAUUGACUCUCCCUCGUGGCGAACCAUUGAACCAACCCCUCAUCUAUAAGUAUCGUAAAUUCUUCACUCCUCUAUCCUCAUUGAAACUUUCGCGGCAGACAACGAGGGUAGACGGUGCGCACUCUAAGGAUCUCCAAUUUUCUUGCUCUCCAUACCUUCCAGUUUAACCAACUCCCCCACUUCUCUCUCUCUCUCUCUCUCUCUCUCUCUCUCUCUCUCUCUCUCUCUCUCUCUCUAACAUUUUCCCGACUUUUCUUUUCCUCUUUCCAUCGCUUUCUCUGCAUCCAAACAUGAACGCUACGGUAAUUACAACAACAACACUGCCUCAUUUCUCAUCCUCCCGCUCCGCCGCCGCCGAAUCAUCCUCAAACCGCCAAUUGCACAACCUUAUACCGGCCAAGUUGAAACUCGACAAACAAAACAACAGAUGUUCCUUAUCCAUAAAAUGCAGCCCCAGUCGAGGAAUUCGAAUCACGAGCGCGUUGGCCUUGACGGCGGCGGAGGCACCUCCGUCGAAGGCCACGGAGAUGGUGGCUGACAAGAUAAAACGGCUCGUUUUGGAAUUCAAGUCCCUGGCGGAGCCAAUCGACCGCGUGAAGCGGCUACUACACUACGCAGCGAGGCUCCCGCCGGACAAUGUGUCGGCGCGGGAGCCAGAGAGCCGAGUCCAGGGGUGCUCGACGCAGGUGUGGGUGGAGGCGGAGAUGGACGAGGCGGGGAGGAUUAGGUUCCGGGCGGACAGCGACUCGGAGAUCUCGAAGGGGUUCUGCUCGUGCCUGAUUUGGAUGCUCGACGGCGCAGAGGCGGGUGAGGUUCUGGCAGUGGAGACGCAUGAUUUGCAGGACGUGAAUGUGGGGGUGUACGGGAAGGUGAAUUCGAGAGUGAACACGUGGCACAACGUGCUGCUGGCGAUGCAGAGGAAGGCUCAGGCUUUGGUGACGGAGCGAAAGCAGGGGAUACGGGGGACUAAUCAGUAAUGAGGUAUAUAUAUUAUACAAGCAAUAAUGGCGAGAGAGGGUAAAUCAAACCGGUGAAAACAAUAAUCGAACUCGAGACAUCAGACGCUAGGUAACUGAGAUAUACGUCUAUCAAUAUUUUUGGUAACUUGUGAAUCAAGUUAGCAGAAAUUGAAGCACAUUAUUAUGUGUUAUUGAAAUAUAUUGCGUUGAAUCAAAUUUAUUGUGUUGUAUUAGAAUACAUACAGAGAGAAAUUAGAUAAUUUUAUCUCAUUUUUCUUCGAUGGUAUGUAACAUUAAGUAAUUCGAAAAAUAAAUAUUUAAAAAAUUUAAACAAUUGUGAAAAUUAGAUUUAACAGUUAAAACAUUUGUACCGUAAAAUCUAGGUAGCAAUGAACCUAUAUCGGACCCUAUUCAACCUUUCUUUUCUUCGGUCCUUCUUGCGAUGGCGAUGGAUUCCGGACGCUUAACUCGUUUAGCAAGGCGCAAUAAACAGUGAACAAUGCCCAAAAGUCUUCAAAACAAAUAGCCCUUUUCAUGCAAUACACGGACACCCAUCUAAUUUACAUGCGGUGGCAUUUAGAGCAAGUCAGGCAAAUAAUGGACCCAAAAAGUCAGGCAAAUAGUGGGCCCAAGCCUGCCCGACAGGCCCAUCAAGCAUUCUGACCCGACACAACUGGAUCCUCUCUGGAUCCAAAAUGAUCUGAGCCUACUGAGCAAUGUAUCCGGGCCAUUGAAAUUUGAUCAAACGGCUACAAUUAGUAUAACUUUAGAGGGGCCCCUGUUUGUAACCGUUGGAUCAAAUUUCAAUGGUCCGGAUGCAUUGCUCAGUUGGCUCAGAUCCGUUGGAUAGGGAGAGGAUCCAGUUCCUGUCCCGACCACUUCUCUGAGUGCCAUCUGAUGUCACAUGUGUCAGAUCAACAUAACGUCAGUCACAUUAUUAAUUUUUUUUUUUUUUUUACGUUAGGCGCGCGCACAAACACCCGAGUGGGUGGUGUGUUUUGGCAAACAAACAAGGUCAGUGGGGCCCAACUUGCAGUGCACUAAGCGCGGGUUGUAUAUAUGGGCGACAUGGCCCAUUUUCGAACGAUGAAUUUUCAAUGAAAAUUUGGACCAUUGGUUUUCCAAUGGUAAAGAAAGUUUUGAUUUCUAAUCCAGUGGCUAGUGCACGCGACGUGACGUGUACAAUUAGAUUUCUAACCGUCACAUAUUCCAACUGUACAUAUUAAAAGCGUAAAAUCUCAAAUUGGCCCAACCCAAGGUGUGGCGUUCUUGCCCAAGAUAUGCAGCCUGGCGGCACUGGUAGCAUAUAGGGGAUAUGCCCAAGAUAGUGUAAUGGGAGAUGAACCGACUAAGGCUAGCUUUCCACUUCCACUUGUAAUUGUAAAGCAAUUAAAUUCAACCGACUAAGGUUAGACAUACUAAAUUUAUAAAUUAAAUAAUGUGUUAUAAAUAAGAAAUAAGCAACUUAAAUCAUUUUUUUCCUUUUGUUUUUUGUUUUUUGCAUGUAGUCCAAUAUCUUAAUGGAUUUUCACCCAUGCAUUCCGGAUUCGAAACUCCUUAUCUCCUGAAUUAUGUAAUAUUAUUCUCAGGAAAAUUAUCAGGAAACAUACUAUGCAAUCUGCUUUCUUCCCAAAACCUAUAGUCAACUCAUAAAUUUACCAUCUAAUUUAACAAAUUUAUCCUUUGAAAAUAAUAAUAAUAAUAAUAAUAAUAAUAAUAAUGAAAAACUCUCAUUGAAUUUUUGAAGGGUUUUUUUUUAGAACUUUAACUAAAAGCUUAUAGAACUGUUUAUUUUAAAGAAAAUCUAUAUUUUUACACUAAAAAAAUUAAUCAUAGUACUAUUUACUUUACCCUUUAUUUUAUCUUUAUUGUUAAAAUUCAAAAUUUUCAAACAUUUUUUAUUAGUUUUUUUUUGUUCUUUUCUCCAGAAAAAGGUGCACUGUAAAGAGCAUCACAACCGUCAAACUACCAAGCACAAAACCCAACAAGUCACGCAAACACCCCAACGCUCCAACUUGCAUGAGGCCCACGACUUACUCGGGGCCCACAAAAUCAACGGUUCACAGUUCGACCUCCCGGGCCCACUUUGACAAUCAGACCGCCUCAGGAAAUCACCACGUAGCUGAUAUAGCUGGUGAGUUGUAUUUCCUACACACAAAAGCUCACGCGCCCACUCUCCUUGCUCUUCCCUCUUCUUCUCAUGUUCUCGGAGCUCCGGCUACAAUAACGGAGCCCCAGCUCGCAUCUCACCUUCUAGUUUCUUUUUAUUUUAUUUUCGCCUUCGUCCCGUUCCAUUUUUUUUUCAAAUUUUUCUGGUCAUUUUUCUCCCUUUCAUUUCGAACUGCGUUCACAGAUCUCGCAAACCGUCGAAGAUGGCCAAACCCUGGGGUACUGUCGGCAACUGGGCCGCCGAGGCUGAGCGAGAAGAGGCCGAGGAGCUCGCGGCGGCCGCCAAGGCCGAGUCCCAGAGCUUUCCCAGUCUAAAGGAAGCCGUCAGCGCCAAGCCCAAGAAGAAGAAGAUGAGCCUCUCUGAAUUCUACAACGCCUCCGGCACCCCCGCCUCUAAUCGUGUCGGCCUCACUCCCGACGAGAUGAUGCGCCUCCCUACCGGCCCCAAGGAGCGCUCUGCCGAAGAAAUGCAGUACGGUCGCCUCGGUGGCGGGUUUCCCUCCUACGGUCGCUCUGGUACGAAUCCGGGUCGGGGCGGGGACAGAGAGGGCGGGGACGGGUCGUGGGGUGGUGGAGGAAGAAGAUCCUACGGUGGAUUCGACGACGACAGGAGGGGCCCGCCUUCUAGGGUUUCUGAUUUAGAUCAACCGUCAAGGGCGGACGAGGUUGACAAUUGGGCAAUGACUAAAAAGUCUCUUCCUUCUGUAGAUUCCGGUAGGCAGAACCGGUAUAGCUCGCUCGGUAGUGUUGGUGCUGGGGGUGGGGGUGGUGAUGGUGUAGGUGGUGGUAUGGGCGGCCCAGCUUGGUCUAGGGCAGACGAGGUUGAUAACUGGGCUGUUGGAAAAAAGCCUACUCCUUCUAGGUCAUCCCCAUUUGGGUCUGAAUUUCAUUCGGGUCCGGAACCGGAUCGCUGGGUGAGAGGCGGACGCGAGGUCGACAGAGUUGAGAGAGAGCGACCCAAAUUGGUUUUGGAUCCUCCGAAAGCCGAGUCCGGCGUGAAUGAGCCAUCGCAGGUUGUGAAGACCAAUAAGCCGAACCCCUUCGGAGCAGCUCGACCUAGGGAGGAGAUUUUGGCUGAGAAAGGGUUGGAUUGGAAGAAGUUGGAGUCGGAAAUAGAAGCCAAGAAGACGAGUAGGCCGACGAGUGCCCACUCAAGCAGGCCUUCGAGUGCUCAGUCAAGCCGGUCUGAAGGGCCCGGGCUGCAUGCAAGUGAUAAUGUGGUGAAGCCGCGGCCGAAAGUAAACCCCUUUGGUGAUGCCAAGCCAAGGGAGGUUUUGCUGGAGGAGCGGGGUAAGGAUUGGCGGAAGAUUGAUCUCGAGCUGGAGCAUCAGGGUAUUGACAGGUUGGUUUUGCUUUGUAUUUUGUCGAUUUUGUAGGUAGUGCAUUCAGCUAAGUAAUGGUUUCAAUAUGUAUGGUAAUGGUUGGUUGAUUGUUUUUUUGCUAUUAAGAAUUGCCCAGUUGCUGAUGCUUAGAAUAUUAGUCAUGUAUAGUUUUAGGAGGAAAUUUAUCGGUCUACUUUCUUCAAGUGGAAUGGGGAACCUUUUAAUUCAUUAGUGCUUUGCUAACACUAAAAACAAAAUGCUAUGUCAUGAUUUGUCAUGAGGACUGUUCUAAGCAUGCCCCCGUGAGAUCCUGUAUUGAAAUUCGACUGUUCGCCAUUUUAAGCGAUAGUUUCUUUUUCCUUCAAGUAGCGCUUCGAACUCUUUUUUUAUUGCUCGACUUCAUUUGUUACUUGCAUUGCUUCUUCAUUUCUUCAUCUUAGUCCCUACUUACUUGCCAUAAGUUGUCUUACUAGUUAAUCAUCGGGAGAAUACUGCUGGAAUUAUUCCCAGCAACUACAAGUGUAUGCAAAGAAGCUAGAUGGGUUAGUGCCGUUUGUCACCUUUGGUUUAUGUUUCGAUUGAAAGGGGUCUAUAGAAAUGAGUAGACUAGUGUAUGGUUGAAACAAGGAGAUUAUGUUUGGGUUAGUGCCUCCUCUUGGGCACAUUCUUGUCUUAUUGUGUGUUUGUGGUGUGGGGGUGAAAAGAGUUUACGUAACUUUUUUCUUCCCCUCCCCGAUGAAGUAGAUAUUCAUUGCAUACAACUAGGCAGUCAGAGACAUUGCACAAGACCAUGUCUUUUUCUUUGCUGGAUGUUAUGCUGAAACAGCCUGGUGUCUUUUUCUUUGCUGAAUGAGUCUGAUCUAAUCACAAGAUACUAAUUUUGUUUGCUUUUAUAAAUAUUCAAACCUGAUUGCACCUACGUGGAAAUUAUUAGAAUUACAUUUUAAUUGGUUAAAUAUAUUAUUCACUGGAUUACCUUUUCCACUUGGCGGUAAUUUAGCAUUGCAAAAUGCAGUAGGCCAAUGAAACCUUAUCAAUAAACUCAAGUAGUUUGCCUUGUAAGCAGUAGGCAAACUGUUUAUUUUCAACUUUCUUGUCGUGGUUAUAUGUAACCCGUGGGUGUCCUGUUGAAUUGACCUCUUAAGCCUUUUGUUGCAGACCUGAAACAGAGGAGGAAAAGAUAUUGAAGGAAGAAAUAGAUCAUCUAAAGAAGGAACUCGAGAAAGAAUCUACGGAUAAAGUGAACAGUGAAACUGUGCAAGAGUCUGGUGGUGACCGGCCAAGUCUACGCGAUAUAAUACUACAGAAGGAAAGGGAAUUGGAGGCAUUGAUCCGAGAAUUUGAUGACAAAGUUCGCUUUGGGCAGAAGGCCAUCGAUAGGCCAGGGUCUGGGGCUGGUAGGCCUGGUUCUGGGGCAGGAAGGCCUGGGUCUUCAGCAGGGAGGGCUGGUAACUUUCAUGAGAGGACGCCGUCUUAUUCCGGGUCAUUUGAAGAUUCUAGAAGUGUGGAAUACGUAGAUAGGUCUCCCUUGCAAGGCAAGGGAGAUCCGUGGGCAAGGCCUUUUGAUGACAGAAGGUCAUUCCAUGGUGGCAGGGAAAGAGGAGGAUUUCUGGGGAGCAGAGACAUGGGCAGGUGAGAAUAAUGUGCUUCUGUGCUUUCCUGUUACAGUCUUAUGGAGGAAGUUAACCUGUUUAAGAAGUAACUUGAUCUGUUAUGCUUUUAGGAAAGAAAUUUUUUCAAUAUGCUAUUUAGUAGCCUGAUCCCGGAACUCUCAAAGAAUGCAUUGGGAAAAAAGUUGAUAAAUAGUUGUAAGAAAAAGUUUAAAAUUGGAUCAGAAACUUUCAAAGAAUGACCAUUUGAUUAUUAAAGAAUUGGGACAUCUCAAAAUAGCAUUUUAAAUGACUUAACAAUCCAUUCUCGACGAUUUACGCCUGUGUAGUCAGCAUAAUAUGUACUUUCAGAGCUAAAUGUUUGUCUAUGAAUCUAUGAAUGCCACAAAAUGCAUAUGACGUUUGGUGGUUGUUUAUUUGGCAGGGCAAGGUCAAGAGAAAGAUGGUGAACAACUGCGCCGUUUCUAUGGAUUCGUUGAAUUGCGCUUCUGACAAACAGGACCAAAUAAUAUUUUGCCUCACUCUUUUUGUUUUCUUCAUUUUGCUCUGGGAAAUGGAGCAAGCAUUAUUGAUUACCGGCACUUGGAAAACUCUUGCGUUGAAGAUCUACUGUUACAUCGUGACACUAUGUAAAAUUGCAGUUUUCCGUUUUCUUUGUUGUCUGUUUUUUUUUUUAUGUGAAGGAGCCUGUAUUGUUCUUAGGUUCCAAUUUUACUGAACACUACGGGACUCGCUAGUCUAUUUUUGUGACAAUCGUCUGGGAAUUAUACUGAUAUUUUGGUUCUUUUGUGCAUGACCUCGUUGCGGAACUCAAUUUUCUCAAUUUUUGUUGCGCGAUUGCUUGACUCUCUGAAUCCUACGGGAUAAACCAUCGAUCCAAAUUCCAUCCCAAGUUUCUCAUUGACUUUGGUUCUACCAAAAGGUGGUGGAGAGGGCCAUGGGGAGUGAAGAGUGGAGGCAGUGGCAAUUGGAGUGGUUGCCAAGUCCCAUCAAGGUUUUAACUUUGGCGAUUCUAAUUCCAACACGGAUGAUUUAUCAGCUACAUUUUUCAACUUCCUUCUCCCUACCGCAAUACAUUCUUUGGUAAGCCUUGAAGUCUUAUGGUCUCCGAUAUGGCUACGUUCAUUUCAUCAAUGGCUAGUGCUUCGGGCGUAACCUGUAAUUUCUUUGCGUAGAAAAUGGUUAACCAUGAAAACAGCUACAAUGUUGCAUCUUCGCAUGAACUUGUAAAUGUUCUUAAAGAGAUUACAAUCUUGAACAAAAUAGUGAUAUUGGUAGUCUUGCAGCAACUCUACCAACAAGGAGCAAGAGUUCAUUGGAUUCACAACACAGGUCCCCACGGCGGUCGGAGGAAAGCGAUUGUUAACGGCACUGAAGUUGAGAUGGGGUGGGGUGCACUAUUCCGAUGCUGCAAACAACUUGAUAGCCAACCAAAUUAUGGGCGGCUCUUUCUCCGACUCUCCAGUCUCAAUCGCUGAAGCAUGUCGCAAUCCUCCACGUUCUGAUUCAACUUCAAGCGGAUAACUUGUUCUAUAAGUUUGGUACGGCUUUAAUAUUGUACUUAAUCAUUGAAGUGAGAGUGUUUAAAUUAAGGAUCCAACCUUGUUUUGUUCUUGAAUAAAUUUAAACAACCGAUGUGGACACCCCUAACAAAUGAAAUCCAAUAAUAUUUGUGAUGAUAUCACAAUGCAUCUUUUAUUUCAUAAUAUUUGUUUCCAGAUUAUGCUACUUGCCUGCCCGUUGACCUUCAAAUCUAUAAGGCUAUUCUAUCGAUUUCACGAAGUACGAAGUUCUUAUGGACCGUGCGAGGUUUAUUUCUAUCGGCAGGUGGUGGAGAGGACCAUGGGGACUGAAGAAGAGUGUGGAAGCAGUGGCAGUUGGAGUUGUUUUAGUUGCUGCUCUUUCAACUUCCUUCGGCCUUGUACCACAGAAGAAAUCGCGCAGUGCUUGUCAAUUCCCGGCAAUGUAUAACUUUGGGGAUUCAAAUUCGGACACUGGUAGUUUCUCAGCGACAUUUUAUCGGCUUCCUUCUCCCUAUGGCUAUACCUUCUUUGGUAAACCUUCUGGCAGGUUCUCAGACGGGCGUAUCAUCAUCGAUUUUAUAGGUUAGAGCAUCAACUGUUGUCAUUACAUUGUCUUCAAAUUUAAGGCUACCUAUAGACUUUUAUUUGCCUUUCUUUUGCAGCUCAAAAGUUGGGGUUUCCAUUUUUAAGUGCUUAUCUGAAUUCUAUUGGAGCAAACUUCCGUUGUGGAGCGAAUUUCGCGAUUGUAGCAUCUACGAUUCAGCCACUAGAUGUCAGGACGUUUGGAGAUGGAUAUAGCCCCAUCUCUCUUAACGUACAGCUUUCGCAAUUUGCGCAGUUCAAAGCACGUGUAAAUGAGUUUUUCCCUCGAGGUAAGGAUAGACGUUUGCUGAAGACGUUUUACUGGAAUAAUAUUUGUUCAUUAUGCUGCUGUUGCACUGAAUGACGGAUUGGUCUUCAGAUGAAAGGUCAUACGUCAAGGCCGGCCUCCCAAGAGCAGAGGACUUCUCCAAGGCCUUGUACACUUUAGACAUUGGACAAAACGAUCUUAGUGCCGGGUUAAGCUGGAAGACGGCAGACCAGCUGCUGGAAAACGUUUCCAGCAUAACAGCGCAGUUAGCCUUGACAAUCGAGGUAACCAGUUUAGAUCUUCUUAUUCAUUUCAUGAACCACUAUUGUCGGGUUAACUUUAUUAACACGAAGUCAGAAACAAUCUGUCCAGAAUUUUUUUCCGUCAUAGUUGUCACAUGAAAUGCCUAAAAUCCCGAUGGCUCGAUAAACAGAUUGUUUAAUAUGUGCAGCAACUCUACCAACAAGGGGCAAGAGUUUUUUGGAUUCACAACACAGGUCCGCUCGGGUGCUUGCCUUCAACUCUGGCGUAUAAGAUGGCAGAACCCGGCGACCUGGAUCAAAACGGUUGCUUGAAGCGGUACAAUGAAGUGUGUCAAGAAUUUAACAGGCAGCUCAAGGAGAGAGUGCUUAAACUAAGAGCCAAACUUUCAGAAGCAGUUUUUACUUACAUCGAUGUCUAUGCAGCAAAAUACACACUAAUCAGUGAAGCGGAGAAGUAUGGUAAGUCUUUUCCCUCUUCAUGCAUUUAGCUAGGGUUUCUAUACUUCAUUUCUUCGGUGUAUCCAAAACUCUAAACCCUUUUUUCUCCGUUGUGUGGAAUGCGCAGGUUUUACGAGUCCUCUAGCUCAAUGCUGUGGAAGCUACGGAUGUCCCUGUCCGUUGUGGGGUGAAAGCUAUUGUUAAUGGCACUGAAGUUGGAGGUCCUUGUAGCAAUCCUUCUCAGCACAUUAACUGGGAUGGAGGACACUAUUCUGAUGCUGCGAACGAGUGGCUAGCCACCCGCAUUAUGGACGGCGCAUUCUCUGAUCCUCCGGUUUCAAUCACUGAAGCAUGUCACAAAACUCCACGGUUUUGAUUCAACUUCAAGUAUCCCAGUUGGGGUUGUAGCAUUGCUUCGAGCAUGUCAAAGAAUACUCAACAGAAAAAAGAAACAAACAAAAAGAAUCUCUAUCAAAUUUGAAGCAAUGACGAUAACACAUUUUCGGGGUUUAUUUUGUAGCAUGAACGCUGAUCGGAAUUUAAGGUCACCUUUAAAGAUCACCUCUGUAAAAAACAAGCAGAAAUAUCGUUCAAUUGACGUUGAUAAUAGUUUCUUGUAUUUAACUGAACAGAUCUGGGUACCUGAAAGAGGGAAAGGGCGAAAAAAAAUUGGAACUGUAAAAUAGAGAAAAAGGACGACUUCACUGGGGAUCGAACCCAGAAUCUCUGGUUUCGUAGACCAGCGCCUUAUCCAUUGGGCCAUGAAGUCCGGAUGUUGAUGUGUCUAGGAUUUAAUUAAUUUAACUAUAAAAGGGCCAAAAGUUGGAAGCAAACGAUUUAAGGGGCAUUAAGACAAUCAUUUUUAGGAUUCCUAAGAGUUAAUUUAUCCUUUAUGGGAUUUAAUGAUUCGAAAGAGAGAAUUCAUUCUUUUACAGUCAUUUGAUUUGGUAAUAGUAAUAAAGAUACUAACGAAUGGAAAGAAAUGAAUGGUUUGGAUCUGUACCAACGGCCAAUUUCCGUUAGAAUAGAAGGUUCCAUGGGAACAAUUAUUUUUUUCUAUUUUCAAGGUACUUCAUCUCAUUUUUUUUUUAUAAAAAAAAAAAGAGAAGAAAAAGAAGUGUGGGGAGAAAUGACAAGAAGAUAUUGGAACAUCAAUUUUGGAAGAGAUGAUGGAAGCAGGAGUUCAUUUUGGUCAUGGUACUUGGAAACGAAAUCCUAGAAUGACACCUUAUAUCUCUACAAAGCGUAAAGGCAUUCAUAUUAUAAAUCUUACUAGAACUGCUCGGUUUUUAGCAGAAGCUUGUGAUUUAGUUUUUGACGCAGCAAGUAGGGGAAAACAAUUUGUUUGUACCAUACUUGACCAAUCCCGAAACUACCGAGCACCGGCCAACGCUAUACUGUCAAGGACCCAGAAGAGUUCCCCUCCGACGCCGAGGCCAAUCACUACUCGACACGUGUCAGAGAUUAGAAGCCAAUCAGAGCGCAGCACGUGUCGACAUCAAGAACCAAUCACAACAUGACACAUGUCAAUGUGACAAAGCUACAAGUUUUUCUAUAAAUAGGGGUCAUUCCCCCACAAUAUUGCCUAAUGCCAUUUGUGUUAAAUCAUUCACAAGAACUCACUAAAUUGAGAGCUUGAUCCUUUGUACUUGUGUAAGCCCUUCACUACUAAUAAGAACUCCCUCUACUCCGUGGACGUAGCCAAUCUGGGUGAACCACGUACAUCCUGUGUUUGCUUCUCUGUCUCUAUUCAUUUUACGUAUUUAUCCUCACUAGUGACCGAAGCAACCAAGCGAAGGUCACAAAACCUGACACUUCUGUUUUGUACCAAAGUCUUCGCUGAUUUUGUGCAUCAACAUUUGGUGCCGUCUGUGGGAACGACACUUAUUCCUACUCUCUUCAGCUGUGUGUCAAGCUGGUUUUCUAUCAUUCGUACACUUUCUUUUGACCAUGCAUCCCUCUCCAACAAUGGGAAGCGAAGGAAGCCACAGCACACAGAAUGACACCCCCCUUGCACAUAGUGCGAAGCAACGAAAGAAGGAAGGAAAACGAGUUCUUCUUCAAGCUAAAGUCGAUGAGUUGGAAGCUCAGAAACAACAAAGAUAGCAAUGAGGAAUGAGGUUCUCCAGGAGCAAUAUGAGAAGCUCUUCGAGACACUCCACGAAGCUAGGCAAAGCUCAGACACGCGAGCUUGUUGCCCCCGUGGAAGUCAACCAUCAACUAGGUGCCCUCCAACAUGGAGGGUCACAUGCAUUCGACACAUAGAUAUCCCUGAUAUAGGGAACAGAUUACCCCUCGACUUGAUAAUCAACAUGAGGCUUCUCUUAACCCAGUUGCUUCGACCCGAACCAUGAGAAGUGGAGGGAGACACCUCUUUGCUGAAGGGCAGAAGGAUCGAAAGCCGUCUUUCGCGAUUGUCGGGAUUUCCUGAAGCAACGUCGAGAGAAUUCCAUCCAUAUAAGCUCAAAGAUCAAUGACCCAAGGAUUUCUGAGAGACUCGGUCCCCUGCCACGGCCCGAGCCGGCCACCAAUUUGGGGAAGGGGCAACAAGUCCUAAGAGAGACAUGAGGGUACAGGGGACUCAGAGGUGUGUUCCGACAGACAUACCCUGGAAGCCAGUACAGCGAGUCCAGGGAAAAUCAUACAUGCCCUUGAUCAAAACCUUCCUAAUUCCAAGAGGAGAUGGAGAUUUACGAAAGAAAGCUCCAGUGGCACAUAACUCCGCUCAGGACCCCCUUGUCCUACAACUUCUUGAGGAAGUAAACAAGUUGAAGGCUGAACGUCAGGCUGAAAUACCUGACUGGAACCAACCUAGGCAUGGCCCUCUUACAAGGAGGAUCCUCAACACCCCCCUUCAAGCAAAGACAAAGCAAAAGCUUGGCUUGCAACUUUAUACUGGAAGAGAGGACCCGAUUGAGCACCUUAACCUCUUUGAAUCCACCAUGGCAUACCGGAUGCACACCGACGAAGAGCGAUGUCUUCUCUUCCCCUCUACCCUCUCUAGUGGAGCUCUAAAUUGGUAUUGUCGUCUUACACCUGAGACGGUAGACUCAUUUGAGGAAUUGAGGAAACUAUUUAUUUCCCAACACAUUUUCCAAACCGAUCGCUUGCACUCUGCAGAUGACUUGUACACUAUCCGCCAGAAGCCAGACGAGUCAUUACGUAUGUAUGUUGGCCGCUUCAGCCAUGAAUACUCCCGGUGUGCCGAGGCAGACGACAAAGACUGCCCUCAAAGCCUUCACGGCAGGCCUACGUGAUUGUUUCUUUAAAUACAUGAUCAAUGCCAAUACUUGGAAGACUUACUCUGAGGUGAUGGCGCAGGCUUAUAACCAUGCCUCCGCCGAGGCAAAGACAUAUCAGGAGAAACCCCCUACAACCAUCAUUUAUCAACAAGUGGGAGGUGGAAGCCAGACUCACCUAAAUGAGAAGACCUCGACUUUCCAAACAGCAGUGGCACCUCCCCAUGCCUUGCAUAAUGCUUCACCGAAUCAACAGACAUAUCAAUUUCAAGGCAAGAGGAAGGAUUUCCAUCCUCACCACUCUCCUUUCAGUAAAAAGAGUAAGGGACACUAUCCCGAUAACCAAGGGUAUCGCCACAAUAGCGCUCGCCCCCAGGCAGUCAAUGCAGUGGGUCAAACCCGCGUCAAGGGUAUCGCCACAAUAGCGAGGUUUUAGCCUGCCAUACUUAACGUGUCUUACGCCUGCCGAGGCGGAAAUCGUCCUUCGGGAAAUACAUGAGGGAGUCUGUGAGAAUCAUGCUGGAUCUCUCGGUCCCUAGCACACAAGACUUUUCGCCAAGGAUAUUACUGGCCAACACUCCACCAGGAUGCCAUCAAAGUAUCCCGCUCAUGUGACAAAUGUCAACGAUAUGCAACUAUUCCUCAUCCCCUCCAGAGCCUCUUACUCCUAUGAUCAGCCAUUGGCCCUUCGCCCAGUGGGGACUUGAUUUGAUCGGCCCAAUGCCGGCAGGGAAGGGCAAAGUCUGUUACGCAGUCGUUGCAGUGGACUACUUCACAAAGUGGGCCGAAGUAGAACCCUUGGCAACCAUUACUGAGGCAAAGAUAGAAGACUUCGUGUGGAAGAACAUCCUUUGUAGAUUCGGCAUUCCCAAUGCGAUAGUCACUGACAAUGGGCGACAGUUUGACAACAAGAAGUUCAGGUUGUUCUGCUCUAAGUUCAACAUCAACUUAUGUUUUGCCUCUCCAGCUCAUCCCCAGUCUAAUGGACAAGUUGAGGCCAUCAACAAAAUAAUCAAGCGCACUUUGAAAACCAGCUUGGACAAAGCUAAAGGCUGUUGGCCAGAAUUUGUACCCCAAGUUCUUUGGUCAUAUCGCACUUCAUAUCGGACUUCAACAGGAGAAACUCCAUUCUCACUUGCCUUUGGCACAGAGGCGGUUGUCCCUGUUGAGCUCGAGCAAGCAACAUUCCGAGUCCAGAACUACAUUCAAAGUGAAAAUGACAAACAACUCACCCUCAACUUGGAUUUAGUCGAGGAACACAGAAACCAAGCUCACUUGAGGAAUGUCGCCUACAAGCAGCGCAUCUCCAACUAUUAUGACUCUAGGGUCAAGCCUCGUUCUUUCAAAAUAGGAGACUGGGUCUUAAAGAAAAGAUUACUCUGCGACAGAGUCCCGAGUGAAGGCACACUUAGUCCAAACUGGGAUGGACCGUAUGAAGUCAUUGACAUCAGUCGCCCUGGCUCUUACACACUUAGAAGCUCUGAUGGCAAGACCCUUGGCCAUCCAUCCAUGGAACGCUGAUCACUUGAAAGUACUACUACAAAUAGACUCACGAUGUACAAGUGUUGAGCUAUAGCCGUUCGGCAUCCUAUGUAAUGAAGGCCAUUUGGCAAUGAAUUCAAUAAAGAGGUAAUUUAGCCAACUCAGCCCUCACUCUUUUACAUUCAUAGCAAGCGAUGCCAGAACCCUUCUCAAUCAGAAAGCAAUCCGUCUUCCACAGUCACUCACUACAAAACAAGCAAAUGAAGACCGUGUCAAGCGCCAAAAAAAAAAAAAAAAAAAAAAAAAAAAAAAAAAGCUUCAUCCAAAAAGCUUCACCCGAAAAGCUUCACCUCCAAAGCUUCACCCGAAAAGCUUCACCUCCAAAGCUUCACCCACAAAGCUUCACCUAAAAAGCUUCACCCAAAAAGCUUCACCCGAAAAGCUUCACCUCCAAAGCUUCACCCACAAAGCUUCACCUAAAAAGCUUCACCCACAAAGCUUCACCUAAAAAGCUUCACCCAACAAGCUUCACCCGAAAAGCUUCACCUCCAAAGCUUCACCCACAAAGCUUCACCUAAAAAGCUUCACCCACAAAGCUUCACCCAAAAAAAAAAGCUUCACCUACAAAGCUUCACCUAAAAAAUCUUCACCUAGAAAGCUCCCUCUACAUACUUUCACCAUCAAAGCUUCACCAUCAAAGCUUCACCUAGAAAGCUUCAUCUACAAAGCUUCACCAUCAAAGCUUCACCUAGAAAGCUUCAACACCAAAGCUUCACCUACAAAGCUUCAACACAAAACCUUGCUCCAAAUAAACAAAUUUUGUUCACAAAACCCAAGAUGCCCUUGAACUUGUACAAAAACACUUGGGUAAACACAUUUUUUGUUUUACACCCACAAGGGCCCAAAAUUUUCCUUCUUAUUUAUUCACUUAUAUAUGUUCCCAAACAUAUUAUAAUAGAUCCAACAACAAGCCAAAGUCCCAAGUUUCAUAAUGGACAAAAGUACAAGCAAUUCAUCAAUAAUGAAGGUGCUACAAAAAUUGGAAUCUGCCCCAAAAUAGAAAUCCAACCCAAGAGACUUUUUUCUCUCUCUCCCUCUUCCGCCUCCUUUCAUCUAUCAAAUUUCUGCAACCUCUGCUCUUCUCCAAUGGAGCUGAAUUUUGGACACCCUAUAGUUCUUGAGCAUAUAUGAACAACUUUCAAGAAGGAACCAUUUCUGUUUGAGCGACGGAAAUUAAAGUGUUGAAGCUCCAAACAUGAUAGUCGGCUUCUUGCAGAUUUCGAAGCUGUUGUGAUGUUUCGAAGAUCUGGAAAUAUUUAACCGUUAGUUCAUCCUGAAUUUUUGAUAUGUUAUGAAAGAGUCGAUGAGGAACAACUUCAAUGAAGAAAGCAUACCGAUCUGAACAAGAGAAAAUGGAGUUUCGAAGCUCAUAACAAAUCUGACGGGUUGACAGAAAAAUAAUAAACAGUCACUCAUCAUACCUGGAUUUCUGGAGUUAUACUGCUCCGAGGGACCUCAAAUUUGGAUAUGUUGUAGUUAACAAGUUAGGGAAUAACUUCGAUGAAGAAAGUAUACCGAUCUGAACAAGAGAAAAUGGAGUUUCGAAGCUCACAACAAAUCUGACGGGUUGACAGAAAAAUAAUAACCAGUCAUUCAUCAUACCUGGAUUUCUGGAGUUAUACUGCUCCGAGGGAUCUCAAAUUUGGAUAUGUUGUAGUUCACAAGCUGAGGAACAACUUCAAUGAAGAAAGCAUGCUGAUCUGAGCAAGAGAAAAUAGAGUUUCAAAGCUCACAACAAAUCUGACGGAUUAACAGAACAUUGAUGAACAGUUACUCAUCAUACUUGAAUUUCUGAAGUUGUACUACUCCGAUGGAUCUCAAAUUUGGAUAUGUUGUAGUUCACAAGAUAAGGAAAAACUUUCAUGAAGACGACUUUUGCAAUCUGAGCUAUAGAGAAAGGUGUUAUCUUGCAUCCACUCAGGCUGAUUAGUGGAAACGAAAAGCAAUUCCACCAAAGAAAAGAUGAAAAAGAGAGAAAAGCUACUAAUUGCACUUGAUCUUGUCUAGUCAAUAGCAUGCAGCAUCAAACACACAAAAGUUGGAAAUAUUUUUAGAUAAAGCAUAUACGAAUGUGUGACAUCGAAACAAGAAUUCGUUACUUUGACAAAUUAGUAACACGCGAGACACCUCAUUCGGCAACUCUCUUCGCCUGAAGACUUGGGGGACUCCCACCAUAUGCUACUGCACCUUGAUACUCGGCAGUCUCACAACCACUCAGUGACUUGGAUUUUUCAAGUCUCCAACCGAGAAGUUUUCCUCACUCGGGAAAUUAAGGGAACACUACCUCAAACUACAUGCUUCACUCACAAAGCUUCAACAAUACAGGUUUCAACAAAAGCAAAAAUUCAAAGAACUUUAUGAAGAAGGCUUUGGUGUAUUUAACACAAUAUGUUGAAAUGAAGCAAAGCUUAUUUAUUAAUAUUUUCGAUAAGCCAGCCACAAAUAUGUACAUAUACAUAAGUCAAAAUAAACAAACAAAAGGGAGCCUUCACAAAGGUUGCUUAGGGGAAGUCUCAGCAGUCGGUAGAGCCCCAGAAAGAGAAAGCACCGGAGGGUGGUUAUCCGGAGCCUCAGUACUUGACAAAACCCCAGAAGGAGGAGGCAUUGGAGGUUCAUCAUUUGAAGCUUCAUUACCAGGUACAGCCCCAGAGGACGAAGGCAAUAAAUGCCUUUGGAACAAACCCACAAACAGCUGAUGAUCAAGUAAAACCUUACCAUCAGAUUCCUUCAUCUGGUCAAGCUUCCUCUUCAUGUUUGUAGCAUAGUCAUGUCAUGGCGAGCCCCGUGCAACUACUUAUUCUCAUGCUUGAGCCCUCUAAUCUCCUGUUUGAGACUCAUCACUUCAGCAGCCAAUGAUUCAACUUGGCGGGUUCUAGCAAAUAGGCGUUGGGCCAUAUUAGACACAGAACCUGCACACUGAACACUAAGAGCCAGAGAGUCCUUAACAGCCAACUCAUCAGACCGUUUGGAAAGUAGUCUGUUAUCUUUGGGAGUGAGAAGGUUCCUGGCCACCACUGCAGCGGUCAUAUCAUUCUUCAUCACAGAAUCCCCAACGGUAAGAGGACCAGUAGGGGAUAUGAAGGAUGGGCGCCAUAUGUUGUCUGGAGAAGGCGUGUGUUGUCUGUCUCUUCUCCAAGGUUCAAGUCAAAACGACGGUCGGAGGGUCCAGACAUUUUCAAAUGUGUUGAAGAAGGAAGAGGUCAGACAAAUCAAGAUCUUAGAAGUGCAAGAAAUGAGCUUCUACUGGUAGAGAUUCAAGUGUGCUGUGGAACUUAAUGCCAGCCUCUAUAAAAAUCUGCACUCGACGGAGCUUCAGAAAUCGAAGAGACGUUUGCUUUCUCAAAAGCUGGGCUGCUCAGAGACCACGAGGGCCGAUCUCAGAAAUCGAAGAGGCGUUUGCUUUCUCAAAAGCUGGGCUGCUCAGAGACCACGAGGGCCGAUCUCAGAAAUCGAAGAGGCGUUUGCUUUCUCAAAAGCUGGGCUGCUCAGAGACCACGAGGGCCGAUCUCAGAAAUCGAAGAAGCACCUGCUUUUUCAGCCUCGUCAGCACCUGUCACAUGCACACUCAGCUUUGCGGAAAUUACGGGCAAUCUGUCGAAGAUUUCUGGUGAAGUAGAAAGCACGUGAAUCUUAUUGUUCAAUCACCGCUCUCCAUAUGCACCAUCAACUCCUCGGGUACCACAUAUAACUUUGUCAAAGAUCUCUGACAAAGUUUAGGCACGAGAAUUUCGAAGUUCCAGCUACCCUACUAUUACCCAUAAGGGUAAAGGAACAGCACCACUGCUUGACAACUGGAAAGUCCCUAUGUGUGUCGACCUCUGGGUUUUGCGGCAAGACAGAUUGGCAAGAACGUCCAACCUUUACUCACAUUCGAGAAAAGACUCCCAACAUAAUUACUUUCUCAAAAACCGGAGUAGCACCGCUUUCCGAAUCUUGAGAGUCAGAUCCUCGACGGGAUUGCUUGUUCGAAAACCGAAGAGGCACAACUCUCAGAACUUCGAGAGCCAGAUUUCCUUAGAUAAAGCUUGUCUGUAAUCUUCACACGUAACAUCAGCUUUCCAGAUACCACAUACCACUUUUUCAAAGUGCUCUGACAAAAUUAAAACACGUGAAGCUGGCAGCUCCCACUACAUUGCUGUGACCAAGAAGGGUAAAGGAAUAGCAUUACUACUUGUUAUUGGGAAAUCCCUAUAUACAUUGACCUCCCUCCUCAACGGACAGGCAAACCUGCAAAAAUGCUCAACCCUUUCUCGCAUUCGAAAAGGCACCCUCAACAUAACCUCUCGAAAUACUCAGCUUUAUUUCCCCCCGAUAAUACCUCAGCAAAUAAGCCACACCAAGAACAAGAGUAUCUCAUAUCAUCAGGGUCGAAAGCAAGAGUAUCCCAUAUCAUGCUUUCUCCCUAUCUUUGUCUUUGUCCUUGUCCACACCUGCAGGACAAGGAGAAAGAGAGCAGUCAGUCGGAACCUGAAAUCAAACCUCCAAUUUGGAACUGACUGCCUGGAGCCUUUGCCUGGUUGCUUACUUAGCAUUGCUCUCGAGUCAUACCUCAACUGCUGUCAAGGUCACGAAUUCCACCGGAAAAUACCUCAUGACAGUUGAUCAGAUAUUGGCUCUUUACACUGAAGCUGCCAAGCGUGGAUGAGUCACUAUGAAGGAAUGUUCUGAAGGACCAUUUAAAUGCAAAGGUUGCACACCACUUCUGCCAUGCAAAAGAUUGAAGCAGAAGGUUCAACGGUGGGCUGAAACAGAUCACUACAGCACGACACAUUUCCAUACCACAUUCAUUAUUCCGUCAACAGCAAAAGUAUCCCAUAUCAUCAAGGUUGAACGUACUCUAGAUUUGAUGGACUUGUUUUGACCCUCAAAUUUUUGAGUCGGCCUUAUACUCUGAAGGGCACCAGAAAACCCUCCAGCACAGUUCAAGAAUAAGCCUGUGGAAAGUUACUUCUUCAAAAGCAAAAGUAUCUCAUAUCAUCUCUUAUCCAUUUGCUUCUCCUUAUCCUGACAGUUGAAUGAGAGACAAGGAGAAGAAGAACAAUCAACCGGAAGCCGAAAGUCAAAUCUCUGAUCCUGGGUUGCUUACUUGGAAGUUUGACUGCUUACCUUGUCUGUCACCUCUUUCGGCAGAUCUCCUAGCUCGGCGACUUGGGGGACUCCUACUAUAGGGUUUGUAUCACACUUGACUAAGCCCGAAACUACAACUAAGCUUCAAGUGAAAUUGAUACAUUACCUUGUGCGUCAACAUCAGCUAAAUACACCAUUCCCGGAUGGAGGAAAGGUACUUCCAGAGAAGGGCAGAUGAAGAUCAGACCCACACUUCGGUACUUAGAAGUUUCGUGAUUACUCAAGGGAUUGGAUCUUGCAAGUCCCCAACCGAGGAGUUUCCCUCACUCGGGAACUUAGGGGAGCACUGUUUGUACCAUACUUGACCAAUCCCGAAACUACCGAGCACCGGCCAACGCUAUACUGUCAAGGACCCAGAAGAGUUCCCCUCCGACCGGGAGGCCAAUCACUACUCGACACGUGUCAAGAUUAGAAGCCAAUCAGAGCGCAGCACGUGUCGACAUCAAGAACCAAUCACAACAUGACACAUGUCAAUGUGACAAAGCUACAAGUUUUUCUAUAAAUAGGGGUCAUUCCCCCACAAUAUUGCCUAAUGCCAUUUGUGUUAAAUCAUUCACAAGAACUCACUAAAUUGAGAGCUUGAUCCUUUGUACUUGUGUAAGCCCUUCACUACUAAUAAGAACUCCUCUACUCCGUGGACGUAGCCAAUCUGGGUGAACCACGUACAUCCUGUGUUUGCUUAUCUGUCUCUAUUCAUUUACGUACUUAUCCUCACUAGUGACCGAAGCAACCAAGCGAAGGUCACAAAACCUGACACUUUCUGUUGUACCAAAGUCUUCGCUGAUUUUGUGCAUCAACACAAUUCUUAAUUGUUGGUACCAAAAAAUAAAGCAGCUGAUUUAGUAGCACGGGCUGCAAUAAAGGCUCGGUGUCAUUAUGUUAAUAAAAAAUGGCUCAGUGGUAUGCUAACGAAUUGGUAUACUACAAAAACGAGACUUCAUAAGUUCAAGGACUUGAGAAUAGAACAAAAGACGGGGGAGACUCAACCGUCUUCCGAAAAGGGAUGCGGCUGUGUUGAAGAGACAAUCAUUUCACUUGCAAACAUAUAUCGGCGGAAUUAAAUAUAUGAUGGGGUUACCCGAUAUUGUAAUAAUCGUUGAUCAACAAGAAGAAUAUACGGCUCUUCGAGAAUGUAUCACUUUGGAAUUCCAACGAUUUGUUUAAUUGAUACAAAUUGUGACCCGGAUCUCAUAGAUAUUUCGAUUCCAACGAAUGAUGACGCUAAAGCUUCAAUCCGAUUAAUUCUUAACAAAUUAGUAUUUGCAAUUUGUGAGGGUCGUUCUAGCUAUAUACGAAAUUCUUGAUUAAAAAUAAGAUAAGUAAAUUUUUGGGGGAACUCCAUAGAAUAGAUUUAUUGCAUCGGUUAUUAUUCUUGAAUAGUACAAAAGAGAUAAAAAUAACUGUGGGGAUAUUAUGUGAUUAGUUGAUAUUCAAAAACAUACAAUUCAAAUAGGCAAGUCAAAAAACGAUGGUUGAAUCAAAAUAAUUCCUUUAAAAGUUUUAUUUAUUUCAAAGGGUAAUAUGAAUGUUCUAUUAUGUUCGAUCAAAACACUAAAAGGGUUGUACGAUAUAUCCGGUGUGGAGGUAGGCCAACAUUUCUAUUGGCAAAUAGGAAGUUUCCAAGUCCAUGCCUAAGUACUUAUUACUUAUUGGGUCGUAAUUGCUAUUUUAUUAGGGUCAGCCAUUAUAGCCGUUUGUAAUCCACAAACCAUUCCUACUGACGGUCAUAAUUUCUUUGAAUAUGUCCUUGAAUUCAUUCGGGACGUGAGCAAAACUCAUAUUGGAGAAAAAUAUGGUCCAUGGGUUCCCUUUAUUGGAACUAUGUUUCUAUUUAUUUUUGUUUCGAAUUGGUCAAGGGCUCUUUUACCUUGGAAAAUCAUACAGUUACCUCAUAGGGAGUUAGCUGCACUCACAAAUGAUAUAAAUACUAUGGUUGCUUUAGCUUUGCUCACUUCAGUAGCAUAUUUCUAUGCUAGCCUUACAAAAAAAGGAUUAUGUUAUUUCGGUAAAUACAUUCAACCAACUCCAAUCCUUUUACCCAUUAACAUCUUAGAAGAUUUCACAAAACCCUUAUCACUUAGUUUUUGACUUUUCGAAAAUAUUUUAGCUGAUGAAUUAGUAGUGGUUGUUCUUGUUUCUUUAGUACCUUCAUUAGUUCCUAUACCUAUCAUGUUCCUUGGAUUAUUUACAAGCGGUAUUCAAGCUCUUAUUUUGCAACCUUAGUUGUGGCUUAUAUAGGCGAAUCCAUGCAGGGUCAUCAUUGACUAGUUACAUAGUCUUAGCCUGAUGCAAUGUAUGCGCGACUCAAGGUAAUCCACUUAUGGAAAAUAUUUAAGGUAUAAAUAAAGGUAUAUACAAUCUAUCUAUAGUAAAAAAGAUUACGAUACGAUAUUAGGGAAUUGAGAAAAAAAAAAGGGAAAAAGAGCUAAAAGAUCAUUUUCCUAAAAUUGUUUUUUGGCCCAUUUAUACUCUCUCCAAUGAAUAUUCUCUUUAUAGUGUUUUGUUUAUUCAGUUCCAAUAUCCAAUAUAAAGUAUUAGGAGAUAUAUUAAAUAUUAGGAGUCAUACUCCUCCCAAUAAGAAUUUUUACUGUAUCUGUUUACGACAUGCGAUUUUUAUGGUAUAAGAAAAUAAUUCUCAUUUCAGUCGAUUUUAUUCCUUUUUUUUUUUUGGUCAAUCGGUAAAUUGAAUAAAUACUAAAUUACAUGAAUUUAGAUCAAUCAAAUACUGAUAUUUCUAUGUAAUGAUUUGGGCUAACAAAUUCUUCCAUUUAAAUUGAUUGUACCUAUCCUUGUGGGAUAAUAAAAAUGGAAUGGAAGAUUAAGGAUUUACAAAAAACGAGAUUUAUAAAAAAAAAAGAAAGAUUGGUUAGCGGAAGAAAAAUAAGAGGGGGGGGGGUUGAAACUAGGUGUAUGUAAUCUAAUCGCUAUAAGACAACUCUUGUCCAUGUUUCGAAGAAUGGAUUCUUGAAUCCCAUUGAAUCUAAGAUACAAUAUUUGGUUUACAGUAUGGGGGAAAGGCAUGUAUAUGUGAUAUUAGAUAUUAACUAGGUAUAUAUGAACGAAAGAUAUAUCUAAUUUGUCCUAAUUUAGAUAGGGAUUCCAAUGGAAGUCCUUCCGUUUCGUCUGUAAUUGUGAAUUGAAUAUUGAAUGAAUUUAAAUCAUGAAAAAGAACAAAGAAUGGUUCGAAAAAAAGAAUGAAAUGUAAAGGAAAGAACAAAAGUCAUACAGAUUCACAAAAACU